rnacentral:rRNA from 1 species
AGGGUUUGAUCAUGGCUCAGGAUGAACGCUGGCGGCGUGCUUAACACAUGCAAGUCGAACGAACCUUCGGGUUAGUGGCGGACGGGUGAGUAACGCGUGAGAAUCUGCCCUCAGGAGGGGGAUAACGGUUGGAAACGACCGCUAAUACCCCAUAUGCCUACUGGUGAAAUGAAUUUCGCCUGAGGAUGAGCUCGCGUCUGAUUAGCUAGUUGGUGAGGUAAUGGCUCACCAAGGCUUCGAUCAGUAGCUGGUCUGAGAGGAUGAUCAGCCACACUGGGACUGAGACACGGCCCAGACUCCUACGGGAGGCAGCAGUGGGGAAUUUUCCGCAAUGGGCGAAAGCCUGACGGAGCAACGCCGCGUGAGGGACGAAGGCCUCUGGGCUGUAAACCUCUUUUCUCAAGGAAGAAGAUAUGACGGUACUUGAGGAAUAAGCCACGGCUAAUUCCGUGCCAGCAGCCGCGGUAAUACGGGAGUGGCAAGCGUUAUCCGGAAUUAUUGGGCGUAAAGCGUCCGCAGGCGGCUUUUCAAGUCUGCUGUUAAAGCGUGGAGCUUAACUCCAUCAUGGCAGUGGAAACUGAAAGGCUUGAGUAUGGUAGGGGCAGAGGGAAUUCCCGGUGUAGCGGUGAAAUGCGUAGAUAUCGGGAAGAACACCAGUGGCGAAGGCGCUCUGCUGGGCCAUUACUGACGCUCAUGGACGAAAGCCAGGGGAGCGAAAGGGAUUAGAUACCCCUGUAGUCCUGGCCGUAAACGAUGAACACUAGGUGUCGGGGGAAUCGACCCCUUCGGUGUCGUAGCUAACGCGUUA